rnacentral:rRNA from 1 species
UGAUACUAAGCCAUGCGAGUCAUUGCAGUAAUGCAAGGCAGACGGCUCAGUAACGCGUAGUCAACCUACCCUAUGGACGGGAAUAACCUCGGGAAACUGAGUAUAAUGCCCGAUAGAACACUAUUCCUGGAAUGGUUUGUGUUCCAAAUGAUUUAUCGCCGUAGGAUGGGACUGCGGCCUAUCAGUUUGUUGGUGAGGUAAUGGCCCACCAAGACUAUUACAGGUACGGGCUCUGAGAGGAGUAGCCCGGAGAUGGGUACUGAGACACGGACCCAGGCCCUAUGGGGCGCAGCAGGCGAGAAAACUUUGCAAUGUGCGAAAGCACGACAAGGUUAAUCCGAGUGGUUUGUGCUAAACGAACCUUUUGACAGUCCUAGAAACACUGUUGAAUAAGGGGUGGGCAAGUUCUGGUGUCAGCCGCCGCGGUAAAACCAGCACCUCAAGUGGUCAGGAUGAUUAUUGGGCCUAAAGCAUCCGUAGCCGGCUCUGUAAGUUUUCGGUUAAAUCUGUACGCUCAACGUACAGGCUGCCGGGAAUACUGCAGAGCUAGGGAGUGGGAGAGGUAGACGGUACUCGGUAGGAAGGGGUAAAAUCCUUUGAUCUAUCGAUGACCACCUGUGGCGAAGGCGGUCUACCAGAACACGUCCGACGGUGAGGGAUGAAAGCUGGGGGAGCAAACCGGAUUAGAUACCCGGGUAGUCCCAGCUGUAAACUAUGCAAACUCAGUGAUGCAUUGGCUUGUGGCCAAUGCAGUGCUGCAGGGAAGCCGUUAAGUUUGCCGCCUGGGAAGUACGUACGCAAGUAUGAAACUUAAAGGAAUUGGCGGGGGAGCACCACAAGGGGUGAAGCCUGCGGUUCAAUUGG